rnacentral:piRNA from 1 species
UGUUACCAAUAAUGUGAUACCUAGGU